UACGUAGGGUGCAAGCGUUUAUCCGGAAUUAUUGGGCGUAAAGAGCUCGUAGGCGGUUUGUCGCGUCUGCUGUGAAAACUGGGGGCUCAACCCCCAGCCUGCAGUGGGUACGGGCAGACUAGAGUGCGGUAGGGGAGUCUGGAAUUCCUGGUGUAGCGGUGAAAUGCGCAGAUAUCAGGAGGAACACCGGUGGCGAAGGCGGGUCUCUGGGCCGAAUACUGACGCUGGAGGAGCGAAAGCCGUGGGGAGCGAACAGG
rnacentral:rRNA from 1 species